GCUGCGAUGGCCGAGUGGUUAAGGCGUUGGACUCGAAAUCCAAUGGGAUAUUC
rnacentral:tRNA from 1 species